rnacentral:rRNA from 1 species
AUGAAGUGGCAGCCGUUCAUGUCCACGUUCAUGCUGAACAAGAUGUGUGAGCUCAUCUCUAGUGGAGUUAGGACUGACAAGGGCUUCAAGGAGGUGCACUUGAACACCAUUGCGAAGCAGGUGUUCGAGUUUUGUGGGCAAGAGGUAUCUGCCACCCAGGUGUACAACCACCUGAGGAAGUGGAGAAGUCGAUGGAUCCAAGUGUCCAAGCUGAGAGACCUUAGCGGCGCCUCAUGGGAUGAGAACACUUGCUCCAUAGUUCUGGAGGAAGAGCACUACGCCGGCCAUGUCGCAGACCACCCAAGGGAUGCUGAGUUCCUUAACAUACCCAUCCAAAACUACAACCAGAUGCAACACAUCUUCUCCUUCGGGCUGGCAACUGGGAAGCAUGCCAUGGGCUCGGGGGAGCCUCUUGGUUCUCCCAUGCCUGACUUCCCUCGGACCCCGGACGUCGAGAUCCUUGAUGGCCCUGACAAGCCCGCUGCGAAGCCCUUCGACAAGCCAUUUGACCCCGUUGAUAGGAAGAUGAAAAGAGGAGGCCUGAUGGAGGAGGAGAUCAAUGUCUUCUGCAGCAUGACUGAGGCGGUGAAGGAGGUGGCAACGGCCAUCAGGGAGUGCAAGCCCCUCGAUGUCCACCCUGACCUGUAUGGCGCUGUCAUGACCUAG